AGAACGAACGCUGGCGGCGUGGAUAAGACAUGCAAGUCGAGCGAGAUUUCCUUUAGUAGCAAUACCGAAGGAAGUCUAGCGGCGAACGGGUGCUUAACACGUGGGCAACCUGCCGAGAAGUGUGGGAUAGCUCGCCGAAAGGCGAAUUAAUACCGCAUGUGAUUAGAGUGGACAUCCAUUCAAAAUUAAAGUCGGGGCAACCUGACGCUUCUUGUGGGGCCCGCGGCCUAUCAGCUAGUUGGUGAGGUAACGGCCCACCAAGGCUUUGAUCGGUA
rnacentral:rRNA from 1 species